GAUGAACGCUGGCGGCGUGCCUAGUACAUGCAAGUCGAGCGAACAGACGAGGAGCUUGCUCCUCUGACGUUAGCGGCGGACGGGUGAGUAACACGUGGAUAACCUACCUAUAAGACUGGGAUAACUUCGGGAAACCGGAGCUAAUACCGGAUAAUAUAUUGAACCGCAUGGUUCAAUAGUGAAAGACGGUUUUGCUGUCACUUAUAGAUGUAUCCGCUCCGCAUUAGCUAGUUGGUAAGGUAACGGUUUACCAAGGCAACGAUGCGUAGCCGACCUGAGAGGGAGACUGGCAAAACAGGAAAUGACACACGAUCAAGACUCCUACGGGAGGCAGCAGUAGCCAAUCUUCCGCAAUGGGCGAAAGCCUGACGGAGCAACGCCGAUUGAGUGAUGAAGGUCUUCGGAUCGUAAAACUCUGUUAUUAGGGAAGAACAAAUGUGUAAGUAACUAUGCACGUCUUGACGGUACAUAAUCAGAAAGCCACGGCAAACUACGUG
rnacentral:rRNA from 1 species